UACGUAGGGCGCAAGCGUUGUCCGGAAUUAUUGGGCGUAAAGAGCUCGUAAGCGGUUUGUCGCGUCUGCUGUGAAAGCCCGGGGCUUAACCCCGGAUCUGCGGUGGGUACGGGCAGACUAGAGUGCAGUAGGGGAGACUGGAAUUCCUGGUGUAGCGGUGAAAUGCGCAGAUAUCAGGAGGAACACCGAUGGCGAAGGCAGGUCUCUGGGCUGUAACUGACGCUGAGGAGCGAAAGCAUGGGGAGCAAACAGG
rnacentral:rRNA from 1 species